ACAUUUUUUUUAUUUCCUCUUUCCCCGUCCAACGAUCCAAAACUAAUCCCCAAAACCAGAGGCCCAUUUGACCCAAGAGAAAAGAAAAACCAGCCGGAGGCCAUACUGUUCGUUCUGAUCGACGUUGAACUUAGGAGUUCGCUUUCUCACUCCUCUCAAAUGGGAGCUCACAAUUCGUUAUCUUUUGUCACUGUCAAUGUACUUUGUAGGGAAUUUGUGUGGGGAGCUAUUGUUGUGGCAUAUGGGGAAGGAAUGUUGCAUCCUGUUGAGACCAUAAAGACGCGUAUUUGGAGCCAUGCUAAAGAUGUUGUAGAUGUAAUAUUCAUGGCUAAUGGGUGAAGCUCAAACGUUUGGUUUUGUUCUAUGAAGGCUUGAAAGAUUAGACAGAGUAUGGGAAGCAAAUUACAAAAUCCAAAUUUCCAUAUUUAUAGUUCUAGUGAGGGAGUCAUGCUUGGUGGAUUGGCUGGUGGUAUGCAUAUCUUGCCACUCCGUUAGAUGCGAUCAUGUGAUCAAAAUAAGAUUUCAAGUGCAGGGUAAGACCUUGAGGUAGGAAUGGCUGGUUGCAUGCAAUUUGUUGCAUAUAGAUGGAUGAUGAUGCAUAGGGGAUGUUCAGAGGUAGCAUUCUCAGGAUUGGAGGGUUUAGUCUAGCUUCAGCUCCUCCCUUACGGCUAUUGGAUUUUCUCGGAGAUCAUUUCAAUGAAGGAUUGAGCAAUGACAACACGCAAGAAGUUGCUAGCGUGUCAGUGGAGGAAAUACUGGGGAAUUUUCAUGUAUCCAAAUAAUAAUUUGGACAAGACUUUUAAUAAUGUUUUCUUGUAAUAUGUUAGACAUAUAAUGAUAUUGAGGAGGAGGUUUUUGGUAUUA